rnacentral:rRNA from 1 species
GAGUCGGACCUGCCCGGUGAAUAAUUUUUAACGGCCGCGGUACUCUGACCGUGCAAAGGUAGCAUAAUCAUUUGCCCUAUAAUUGAGGGCUAGUAUGAAUGGUUUGACGUGAACAGAACUGUCUCUAUAUAAUUUUUUAGAAUUUGAUUUUUAGGUGAAGAAACCUAAAUAUUAUUGAUAGACAAGAAGACCCUAUUGAGCUUUAAAAGAAUGUAUUGAGAAUAAUAUAUAACUUUAAAUAUUAAUCUAUUCAAAAUUUUGGUUGGGGCGACUAUGGAACAAGUAAAGCUUCUUUAUUACUAUAAAACUUUCAGGUUAUGAUCCAGAAAUUCUGAUUAAUGAAAUUAGUUACCAUAGGGAUAACAGCAUAAUUCUCUUUGAGAGUUCUUAUCGAAAAGAGAGUUUGUGACCUCGAUGUUGGACUAGAAUGUCCUGAAGAUGCAGCAGUCUUCUAGGGUUNGUC